rnacentral:rRNA from 1 species
CCUACGGGAGGCAGCAGUGGGGGAUAUUGCACAAUGGGGGAAACCCUGAUGCAGCGACGCCGCGUGAGUGAAGAAGCGCCUCGGCGCGUAAAGCUCUGUUAGCAGGAACGAUAAUGACGGCACCUGAAGAAGAAGCCACGGCUAAUUACUAGCCAGCAGCCGCGGUAAUACGGAGGGGGCAAGCGUUAUCCGGAUUUACUGGGGGUAAAGGGAUCGGGGUCGGCGGGGCAAGUCUGGAGUGAAAGGCCGGGGCCCAACCCCGGGUCCGCUCUGGAAACUGCCCGGCUUGAGUGCGGGAGAGGUAAGCGGAAUUCCGUGUGUAGCGGUGAAAUGCGUAGAGAUUAGGAGGAACACCAGCGGCGAAGGCGGCUUACUGGACCGUAACUGACGUUGAGGCUCGAAAGCGUGGGGAGCAAACAGGAUUAGAUACCCCUGUAGUC